GCCCCGCUCUGUCCUGUGGGUCUCCACAACAGGGGAACUGGAAACACCAGCCUUGCGACAGAAGUGGCCGUGGGUUCCCAUUCUGACACAUGAGAGGGAAGAGAAGCUGACACUGCCUCUCCCUCACUUCCUGCCUAGAAUGUGGAAGUGAUGCUCAGUGCAAACCAAGUUAUGAAAGAGCAGAGGGAGCAGAAAGGGAAGAGUCUCUUCACAGAGAAGAUCAGAGAGACCAGGAGGAGGCCACAUGGCCUCUGAGAGAAGCCGGGGUGAAGACCGAGGCCUGGAGCAGCCCAGACUUGUCACGCCAUCUUCUGGAACAUCACCCUGACUCCCCAAACCCUGAGCUCCAGCCCGAGUAUCUUGCGACUCCGUUACCUGCCGUCACGGUCGGAGGUGCCUGUUCUGGCCAAGGUGUUCCGUGCGCCCCGACAAGACUGUUUGAACUAGGUUGGCAUCUGUCACGGUACAAAGCGUCCCUCCCGUUCUGGCCUGCCCCACACGGUAUGUUGCACAAUGCUGCUGUCCUACGUCUCUGUUCUCGUGUCCUUGCGUCACAAAUAAAUAAUGGAAAGCCUCAGUUGUCUGCUGUCCCCUGAGGCUCUCUUACGACCAAGAAGCAGCCCCUCUGCGUUCUCCGGCUGCAGUUAAAUCUCAUCGCCGAGUAACGGGCUUCAUCUCCUCCACAGCCAUGGCUGCGCACCGCAACACAGCGCUAGCGGAGGAGCCCAGUCUUCCCCCUGAGUUACCCCCCCAGCCCGCCUUCUUCAUUCAUUCAUUAUCUAAAAUCCAGAUCUCUCGCUGAGCCGCCCAGCAGGAUAGGCUCAAACUUGCAAUCCUCCUCCCUCAGCGUCCCAGAGUGCCGGGAGAGAAAUUUGCUGGUAGUUUUAGAUAUCUACUGUAACCUGCCACUGGGCACACCCAGAACGCCGUCCUUCUGCUUCUUGUUGUCAUCGCAGGAGCUCCUACUUCCCUCCAGGGCCCAGGUCAAGCUGUCGCCUGCUCUGAGAAACUGCCUGAUCCCCACUCAGACCCGAGCUCAGUUGCACAUGGCUCCACUAUCAGUUCUCACGCUGUGAUCUUACUGUUUAAGAACGUAAUUCUCCC